rnacentral:lncRNA from 1 species
UCCUCUAGACACUGCCUACCCUCAAUUAUCUUACAUACUGUGUGUCUGUUGCCUGAAGAUCAAAGCCCUACAAAGAUUGAGGAAACUUAUUCCCAGACUGACAGUAAGCCACAGAAGUUCUCAAAGACAUUCUAUCAUGUCAUAGAGAGACUGAUAUGCAUCAGAAGACAGCAUGUCCACAAUGGUGAGAUAAUGGAUCCUUGCAUGCAAAGGUCAUGGCCACCUGCAUUGGAUGAGGACAUUAAUGAUGGCAGCUGGAGUAAGCCUGGGAGAAGGUAUUUUAUUCUGAGGUGGAGGAGAAACUUUGAAUGUCCUCAAGAGAGAGAAUGAGUUUGUGUCAUCAUUAUUCCUUAGACUAGGAGUUUUAGUCUUUUUUGUGCUCUUUGACAAUCUGGUGAAACUUAUAAAUCCCUUCUCAGAAUAAUUAUUUUAAAUGCAAAAAAAUUACAUUGGAUUAUAAAGGAAACCAAUUGUAUUUGAAGUAUAGUUAUCAAAAUAUAUUAAAAAAACAAAAACAAGUCCACAAAUUUCAAAGCUAGUUUAAAAAAAAAACCCUGGAAACAAAUAUGAUCCACAGAGAGAAAUUCCUCAGGCUGGGGGGAAAAAAAAUAUUGCAGCUGUGGAUUGGCACCAAGGCCAUUAGGUAGGUUUAUUGUUGGACAACCAGCUGGAAGAGUUUCUAGCACCAGACUCAGUUCCUCAUUAGACCAUAUAUAUUAGAAUAUAUGAUUAUAACUGGGACCAUUAUUAUUUUAUAUGGUCCUCUCUCUUUACAUGUGUGGACAUAUAGUAGGCUGGACAUAACCCAAGCACCCUAGUUCCAUUUAAUCACUUAACAUCAGGUAACUUUUAGAAAGGGAUAGUUAAUUCAAAGAUAUAGUAAGAACAAACAUACAAGCAUUUCUCUCAAUACCUCCAGGGCAUAGUCUCUCCUAUACUACCUCAGUCUCUGGCAGAGUAAGCUUGAAAUUUUGCUCAGUUCUACACAGGAUUAGUCCCACCAAGUUCUUCUUCAAAGAUUGUAUUACUGCUGGAUGAGUCU